ensembl:lncRNA
GUGGACAGAGGUGGGCAGAGGUGUGGUGUGUUCAGGUGGACAGAGGUGUGGUGUGUUCAGGUGGACAGAGGUGGGCAGAGGUGUGGUGUGUUCAGGUGGACAGACGUGUGGUGUGUUCAGGUGGACAGAGGUGGGCAGAGGUGUGGUGUGUUCAGGUGGACAGACGUGUGGUGUGUUCAGGUGGACAGAGGUGGACAGAGGUGUGGUGUGUUCAGGUGGACAGAGGUGGGCAGAGGUGUGGUGUGUUCAGGUGGGCAGAGGUGCAUUUAGCCUCUAGUGAGGAGACAGACAGACAGAGGCAAACCAUACAGGAAGACAAAGACAAAAAACACUGAUGCUCAUAAAUCAUUUUGAGUGAGUUUAACGUUUGUCAUGAAAGACCGCUAGAGAGAAAGAGAGAUAGGUGAGAGAGAGGGGGAGAGAGAGAGAAAGAGAGAGAGGUGAGAGAGAGGGGGAGAGAGAGAGAAAGAGAGAGAGGUGAGAGAGAGAUGAGGAGAGAGGAGAGCGAGACAGAGCGAGAGAGGG